rnacentral:rRNA from 1 species
CCCUUAGAUGUUCUGGGCCGCACGCGCGCUACACUGAUGCAUUCAACGAGUCUAAAACCUGGUCUGAGGGGGCUGGGUAAUCUUUUGAAAGUGCAUCGUGAUUGGGAUAGAUGAUUGCAAUUCUUCAUCUUCAACGAGGAAUGCCUAGUAAACGCAAGUCAUCAGCUUGCAUUGAUUACGUCCCUGCCCUUUGUACACACCGCCCGUCGCUCCUACCGAUUGAACGAUCCGAUGAAAACUGUGGAUUGAGAGUCUGAGUGGGUUCGCCUACCUCAACUUUCGAGAAGCGGUUUAAAUCUUAUCGUUUAGAGGAAGGAGAAGUCGUAACA